GAAGGGCUUCGGCUUGACGGUACCUGCAGAAAAAGCACCGGCUAACUACGUGCCAGCAGCCGCGGUAAUACGUAGGGUGCAAGCGUUGUCCGGAAUUAUUGGGCGUAAAGAGCUCGUAGGCGGUUUGUCGCGUCUGCUGUGAAAACCCGAGGCUCAACCUCGGGCCUGCAGUGGGUACGGGCAGACUAGAGUGCGGUAGGGGAGAAUGGAAUUCCUGGUGUAGCGGUGGAAUGCGCAGAUAUCAGGAGGAACACCGAUGGCGAAGGCAGUUCUCUGGGCCGUUACUGACGCUGAGGAGCGAAAGCGUGGGGAGCGAACAGGAUUAGAUACCCUGGUAGUCCACGCCGUAAACGUUGGGAACUAGAUGUGGGGACCUUUCCACGGUCUCCGUGUCGCAGCUAACGCAUUAAGUUCCCCGCCUGGGGAGUACGGCCGCAAGGCUAAAACUCAAAGGAAUUGACGGGGGCCCGCACAAGCGGCGGAGCAUGCGGAUUAAUUCGAUGCAACGCGAAGAACCUUACCAAGGCUUGACAUAUACCGGAAACUUCCAGAAAUGGUUGCCCCGCAAGGUCGGUAUACAGGUGGUGCAUGGUUGUCGUCAGCUCGUGUCGUGAGAUGUUGGGUUAAGUCCCGCAACGAGCGCAACCCUCGUUCUAUGUUGCCAGCACGUCAUGGUGGGAACUCAUAGGAGACUGCCGGGGUCAACUCGGAGGAAGGUGGGGAUGACGUCAAAUCAUCAUGCCCCUUAUGUCUUGGGCUUCACGCAUGCUACAAUGGCCGGUACAAAGGGCUGCGAUACCGUAAGGUGGAGCGAAUCCCAAAAAGCCGGUCUCAGUUCGGAUUGAGGUCUGCAACUCGACCUCAUGAAGUCGGAGUCGCUAGUAAUCGCAGAUCAGCAACGCUGCGGUGAAUACGUUCCCGGGCCUUGUACACACCGCCCGUCAAGUCAUGAAAGUC
rnacentral:rRNA from 1 species